rnacentral:rRNA from 1 species
UGUCGGGUAAGUUCCGACCCGCACGAAAGGCGUAACGAUUUGGGCACUGUCUCAACAACAGACUCGGUGAAAUUGUAAUUCCGGUGAAGAUGCCGGAUACCUGCGACAGGACGGAAAGACCCCAUGGGGCUUUACUGUAGCUUGACAUUGGGUCUUGGUACUACAUGUACAGGAUAGGUGGGAGGCUUUGAAACCAGGACGCCAGUUUUGGCGGAGCCAUCCUUGGGAUACCACCCUUGUAGUACUGGGACUCUAACCAUAGGCAAUGAAUCUGGUCUUGG